AUACUUACCUGGCAGGGGAGACACUAUGAUCAUGAAGGUGGAUCACCCAUGGUGAGGCUAAGCCAUUGCACUGAGGCGAGCUGACCCGUGCGAAUUCCCCACAUGCGGGAAUCUCGACUGCAAAAUUUGUGAUACUGGGGGACUGCGUCCGCGCUCUCCCCUG